GCUAGCGAAUGCACAGCUGCUCACAGCCACUUCGUAGCAUCGUCAGAGCCCGGCCUUUCCCGAGCAAACACGCGCUUUCCUGGUAGUGAUUCUUAAUGUUGCUGCUAGAAGGCCAGCCCGUGUGAGCUGCCUGCCGGACUCCCAGCUGCCUGCUUUCUCUGAUCCUCGUGCUCAGUGUUCCGUUCAGUGCCCCAGAUCUUCCAGGAAGCCUGUCUGAUCAGAAUGGCCCAGGGAGAGCAGUGUCCUGUUUCCAAAAGCGAAUGUGGCCUUGGAUCUUCCGAAAGAGCACUCACAGCCUGUGCUGGGAAGGAGAGGCUUGAAGCAGUCCCCGGGACCCACACAGCCCUGUCCUCUUCAGCCUGUACCUUGCAGGGGGUUCAGGUCACCUCCCCCCCACCCCUUUCGCCUUCGUGUUUUCUGCCUUUCUGCCGACAGGAGCAGGAGAGACCUUUCAAGGUGUCUUUACAGUUCCUUGAAAGCUGGAGGGAGAGGCCAGCAGUGAAUUAUAUAACAGCAAAGCCGUUUUAAAGCAACAGCGACUGCCUAUAGGCACGGGGUAUUUCCCAGCCAGUUUCCGUGUCUGACUAUAAAGAAAAAAAAAAAUGUACAAAUUCUGUGAAGAGCAUCGAGGAGACCCCACCCCCACCCCCCGACCCCUGCCAUCCCCUCUCACUGCUUUCUAUUCUUCCAUCAGAGGAACACAAUUCCCCAGGAUGAUGAAGGGGGCGGGAUGGGGGGUUGUAACGACGACAAUAACAACCAAAAAAAAUCUUCCAAAGCCUUUCUGAAGAAAUGCUAGGGGAAAGCUUGUUCGCUAACCUCCGGGGCACAGCACCGUACUUCUGUAAAAAAAAAAAAGGAGAAGAGGGAGAGAAACCCGGCUAAAGUCCGUG